rnacentral:rRNA from 1 species
GACGAACGCUGGCGGCGUGCCUAAUACAUGCAAGUCGAACGAGCCGCGGACUUCUGAGUAAUCUCUGGGAAACUGCCUGAUGGAGGUGGAUAACUCCUGGAAACCGUAUCUACUCCCCCAUACCAUCCUCUGUGCCCUGAUGGGAUUAGCUAGUAGGGGGGGUAAUGGCUCACCUAGUCGACGAUCCCUAGCUGGUCUGAGAGGAGGACCAGCCACACUGGAACUGAGACACGGUCCAGACUCCUACGGGAGGCAGCAGUGGGGAAUAUUGCACAAUGGGCGCAAGCCUGAUGCAGCCAUGCCGCGUGUGUGAAGAAGGCCUUCGGGUUGUAAAGCACUUUCAGCGAGGAGGCGGUACUCGAAGAAGAAGCACCGGCUAACUCCGUGCCAGCAGCCGCGGUAAUUG